rnacentral:rRNA from 1 species
UACGUAGGGGGCAAGCGUUGUCCGGAAUUACUGGGCGUAAAGGGCGCGUAGGCGGCCCGCUAAGUCGAACGUGAAAUCCCCGGGCUCAACCCGGGAACUGCGUCCGAUACUGGUGGGCUUGAAUCCGGGAGAGGGAUGCGGAAUUCCAGGUGUAGCGGUGAAAUGCGUAGAUAUCUGGAGGAACACCGGUGGCGAAGGCGGCAUCCUGGACCGGCAUUGACGCUGAGGCGCGAAAGCCAGGGGAGCAAACGGG